UACGAAGGGGGCUAGCGUUGCUCGGAAUUACUGGGCGUAAAGCGCGUGUAGGUGGCGAGGUAAGUCGGGUGUGAAAUCCCUUGGCUCAACCAAGGAAGUGCACUCGAUACUGUCUCGCUUGAGUACUGGAGGGGAUGGCGGAAUUCCCGGUGUAGAGGUGAAAUUCGUAGAUAUCGGGAGGAACACCUGUGGCGAAGGCGGCCAUCUGGACAGUCACUGACACUGAGACGCGAAAGCGUGGGUAGCAAACAGG
rnacentral:rRNA from 1 species